UACGGAGGGUGCAAGCGUUGCUCGGAAUCACUGGGCGUAAAGCGACCGCAGGCGGCCUGACAAGUCGGAUGUGAAAGCCCUGGGCUCAACUCAGGAAUUGCAUUCGAAACUGGCAGGCUUGAGUACGGGAGAGGGGGGUGGAAUUCCUGGUGUAGGGGUGAAAUGCGCAGAUAUCAGGAAGAACACCCGUGGCGAAAGCGGCUCUCUGGAACGGUACUGACGCUGAGACGCGAAAGCGUGGGGAGCGAACAGG
rnacentral:rRNA from 1 species